CCUACGGGAGGCAGCAGUGGGGAAUAUUGGGCAAUGGGCGCAAGCCUGACCCAGCAACGCCGCGUGAAGGAAGAAGGCUUUCGGGUUGUAAACUUCUUUCCUCAGGGACGAAGGAAGUGACGGUACCUGAGGAAUAAGCCACGGCUACCUACGUGACAGCAGCCGCGGUAAUACGUAGGUGGCACGCGUUAUCCGGCUUUAUUGGGUGUAAAGGGCGGGGAGGCGGGAGCGCAAGUCAGAUGUGAAAACUCAGGGCUCAACCGUGGGCCUGCAUUGGAAACUGUGUGUAUUGAGUGCGGGAGAGGCAAGCGGAAUUCCGGGUGUAGUGGUGAAAUGCGUCGAUAUACGGAGGAACACCAGUGGCGAAGGCGAAUUGCUGGACAGUAACUGACGCUGAGGCGCGAAAGCGUGGGGAGCAAACAGGAUUAGAUACCCUGGUAGUC
rnacentral:rRNA from 1 species